rnacentral:rRNA from 1 species
AGGGAAUAUUGGACAAUGGGCGCAAGCCUGAUCCAGCCAUGCCGCGUGUGUGAAGAAGGCCUGCGGGUUGUAAAGCACUUUUAGUGGGGAAGAUAAUGACGUUACCCACAGAAAAAGCACCGGCUAACUCCGUGCCAGCAGCCGCGGUAAUACGGAGGGUGCAAGCGUUAAUCGGAAUUACUGGGCGUAAAGCGUGCGUAGGCGGCUCUUUAAGUCGGAUGUGAAAUCCCCGGGCUCAACCUGGGAACUGCAUCCGAUACUGGGGAGCUAGAAUGUGGGAGAGGGAAGUGGAAUUUCCGGUGUAGCGGUGAAAUGCAUAGAGAUCGGAAGGAACAUCAGUGGCGAAGGCGACUUCCUGGACCAACAUUGACGCUGAGGCACGAAAGCGUGGGUAGCAAAC